rnacentral:rRNA from 1 species
GACGAAUGCUGGCGGCGUGCUUAACACAUGCAAGUCGAACGGUGAAGGGACCGGUUUUUGCUGGUUCUGGAUGAGUGGCGAACGGGUGAGUAACACGUGAGUAACCUGCCCCCUUCUUCUGGAUAACCGCAUGAAAGUGUGGCUAAUACGGGAUAUUCUGCGCCUGCUGCAUGGUGGGUGUGGGAAAGAUAUUGUUUCGGUGGGGGAUGGGCUCGCGGCCUAUCAGCUUGUUGGUGGGGUGAUGGCCUACCAAGGCGGUGACGGGUAGCCGGCCUGAGAGGGUGGACGGUCACACUGGGAAUGAGACACGGCACAGACUCCUACGGGAGGCAGCAGUGGGGAAUAUUGCACAAUGGGCGCAAGCCUGAUGCAGCGACGCCGCGGGAGGGAUGGAGGCCUGCGGGUUGUAAACCUCUUUCGCCAGUGAAGCAGGCCUGUCCCUUUUGUGGGUGGGUUGACGGUAGCUGGAUAAGAAGCGCCGGCUAACUACGUG